UUCCGGUUGAUCCUGCCGGACCUGACUGCUAUCGGAUUGAUACUAAGCCAUGCGAGUCUUUGUAGUAAUACAAGGCAGACGGCUCAGUAACACGUAGUCAACCUACCCUAUGGACGAGAAUAAUCUCGGGAAACUGAGCAUAAUUCUUGAUAGAUCAUAAUGCCUGGAAUGGUUUAUGGUUAAAAUGAUUCGUCGCCAUAGGAUGGGACUGCGGCCUAUCAGCUUGUUGGUGAGGUAAUGGCCCACCAAGGCGAUUACAGGUACGGGCUCUGAGAGGAGAAGCCCGGAGAUGGGUACUGAGACACGGACCCAGGCCCUAUGGGGCGCAGCAGGCGAGAAAACUUUGCAAUGUGCGAAAGCACGACAAGGUUAAUCCGAGUGAUUUCUGCUAAAGAAAUCUUUUGCCGGUCGUAAAACCGCUGGUGAAUAAGGGGUGGGCAAGUUCUGGUGUCAGCCGCCGCGGUAAAACCAGCACCUCAAGUGGUCAGGAUGAUUAUUGGGCCUAAAGCAUCCGUAGCCGGCUUUGUAAGUUUUCGGUUAAAUCCAUGUGCUCAACGCAUGGGCUGCCGAGAAUACUGCAUAGCUAGGGAGUGGAAGAGGUAGACGGUACUCAGUAGGUAGGGGUAAAAUCCUUUGAUCUAUUGAUGACCACCUGUGGCGAAGGCGGUCUACCAGAACACGUUCGACGGUGAGGGAUGAAAGCUGGGGGAGCAAACCGGAUUAGAUACCCGGGUAGUCCCAGCUGUAAACGAUGCAGACUCGAUGAUGCAUUGGCAUAAUAGCCAUUGCAGUGUCGCAGGGAAGCCGUUAAGUCUGCCGCCUGGGAAGUACGUACGCAAGUAUGAAACUUAAAGGAAUUGGCGGGGGAGCACCACAAGGGGUGAAGCCUGCGGUUCAAUUGGAUUCAACGCCGGA
rnacentral:rRNA from 1 species